rnacentral:rRNA from 1 species
AGAGUUUGAUUCUGGCUCAGGAUGAACGCUGGCGGCGUGCCUAAUACAUGCAAGUCGAACGAGAGUGCUUGCACUCGAGUGGCGAACGGGUGAGUAACACGUGGGUAACCCACCUAUAAGACGAGGAUAACUUCUGGAAACGGAUGCUAAUACUGGAUAAGAUGUAUUACCACAUGGUGAUAUAUUUAAAGGUUCUUAACGGGAUCACUUAUAGAGGGGCUUGCGGAGCAUUAGCUAGUUGGUGAGAUAACAGCCCACCAAGGCGAAGAUGCUUAGCCGGACUGAGAGGUUGAACGGCCACAUUGGGACUGAGACACGGUCCAAACUCCUACGGGAGGCAGCAGUAAGGAGUUUUCGGCAAUGGGGGAAACCCUGACCGAGCAACGCCGCGUGAGUGAUGAACCGGCCCUAUGGGUUGUAAAGCUCUGUUAUAAGGGACGAACAGCUUUGCUAGGAAAUGAGCAGAGUCUGACGGUACUUUAUCAGAAAGCCACGGCUAACUACGUGCCAGCCGCUGC